AAGUGAAUGUAAGUCCAAUUAUUCUAACUCAUUUUCCUUCUCUCUAACUAAUUUUAUGCAAACCCACUAAAGAUUCUCUGCAAAAACUCACAUGCAGAAGCAAUGGUGGAAACUAUCUGAAUCGGUGUAGCUCCAAUCAGUGUAGCUCCAAGAUCAUCCAAAGCUCAUCUCAAAACUCUCCUUGCGGACCUCAUGCUUCUCUCCAAGUGAAUUUUUUCAAAGUAAAGGACUAUAGCUCGAAAGAUUUGCUUGUCAAUCUACCCAAAAAUCCAGAUUAAUCUACAAAGAUGGCGAUGUUUGGAUCAACUGUGCAUACCUCGGAUAAUCGUCAAACAGAUUGCUACAGCCCAUACCCAUACAUAUAGAUGGUGGUUGGUGGGUAAACAUGCCAUUAAUAUUGGAGAAGAUGAGUGCAUGUCCUUAUUAUGUUUCUUCUCUAUAGUUUAUUGAAUUUUAAUAUCCUGCAAAUGAUGUUUAUUCUAGAAUCAAUUCAAUUUGUUCUCAUCUUCAAAUUCUUUUAGUUGAUCUGAGUUUCUGUUUAAUACGUGGAUGCGAGUUGUUGUGUUUUAGAUUUUGUACUUAUUUGAUGAAAAAAUGAUUGAAAUAUUUUUAGAGUUUCAUUUAUCGAUAAGAAGAUCAUAAGUCUUGCAAUGUUUCGGGUCAAAAAAGAGCAAAAUCAAUCAAUGUUUACUCGUGUUAUUCCAUUGCUAAGCAUGUGUGGACUUAACACCAUUUUGUAGGAGAAAACCUGUUGUGCUGACUUUAAUUUGUCUUGCAGAAUUAAACAACCUGGGAACAUAGACCGAAGAAUGUAGAAGAUAUCAUCUAAUCCAGAAUAAUAUGUUAUGUUGUCUUAAGAUUUUCAAGAAAAUAAAUUGACUCAAUUGUUUCUUUAAUUGUUUAGUUUAUAUAAUUAGGACGCUGAGUUGACUUUA